rnacentral:rRNA from 1 species
GACGAACGCUGGCGGCGUGCUUAACACAUGCAAGCUGAACGGAAUGGCCCGGCUUUUGCUGCGUGGUUGUGGGGCGAAUGCGGGUGUAACACGCGGGUAACGUGCGCUUGCCUCAGGGAUAAAGGCUGGUGAGACGGGCUCAUACCGGAUAGGAUCUUCUGCUGCAGGGGGGGGGUGGGAGAGUUUGGGCGGUUCGGUAGCGACUCGGGGGCUAUCAGCUUGUUGGUGGGGUAGGGGGUUACAAAGGAUUUGACGGGUAGCCGGCCUGAGAGGGGGACCGGCCACAUUGGGACUGUGAUACGGCCCAGACUCCUACGGGAGGCAGCAGGGGGGAAUAUUGCACAGUGGGCGGAAGCCUGAUGCAGCAGCGCCGCGUGCGGGAUGACGGGCUUCGGGUUGAGAACGGAUUUCGCCUGGGGCGAAGCGUGGGUGAGGGUAAUGGAUAGGAAAGCACCGGGUAGCUACGUG